UACGUAGGGGGCUAGCGUUGUCCGGAAUCAUUGGGCGUAAAGAGCGUGUAGGCGGCCCGGUAAGUCCGCUGUGAAAGUCGGGGGCUCAACCCUCGAAUGCCGGUGGAAACUGUCGGGCUCGAGUGCGGAAGAGGCGAGUGGAAUUCCUGGUGUAGCGGUGAAAUGCGCAGAUAUCAGGAGGAACACCGAUUGCGAAGGCAGCUCGCUGGGACGCGACUGACGCUGAGACGCGAAAGCGUGGGAGCAACAGG
rnacentral:rRNA from 1 species